GAUGAACGCUAGCGGGAGGCCUAACACAUGCAAGCCGAGCGGUAGAGAUUCUUCGGAAUCUUGAGAGCGGCGUACGGGUGCGGAACACGUGUGCAACCUACCUUUAUCUGGAGGAUAGCCUUUCGAAAGGAAGAUUAAUACUCCAUAAUAUAUUGAUUGGCAUCAAUUGAUAUUGAAAGCUCCGGCGGAUAGAGAUGGGCACGCGCAAGAUUAGUUAGUUGGUGAGGUAACGGCUCACCAAGACGAUGAUCUUUAGGGGCCUGAGAGGGUGAUCCCCACACUGGUACUGAGACACGGACCAGACUCCUACGGGAGGCAGCAGUGAGGGAUAUUGGUCAAUGGGUGCAAGCCUGAACCAGCCAUCCCGCGUGAAGGACGACUGCCCUAUGGGUUGUAAACUUCUUUUGUAUAGGGAUAAACCUACCCUCGUGAGGGUAGCUGAAGGUACUAUACGAAUAAGCACCGGCUAACUCCGUGCCAGCAGCCGCGGUAAU
rnacentral:rRNA from 1 species